rnacentral:rRNA from 1 species
GACGAACGCUGGCGGCGUGCUUAACACAUGCAAGUCGAACGGAAAGGCCCUGCUUUUGUGGGGUGCUCGAGUGGCGAACGGGUGAGUAACACGUGAGUAACCUGCCCUUGACUUUGGGAUAACUUCAGGAAACUGGGGCUAAUACCGGAUAGGAGCUCCUGCUGCAUGGUGGGGGUUGGAAAGUUUCGGCGGUUGGGGAUGGACUCGCGGCUUAUCAGCUUGUUGGUGGGGUAGUGGCUUACCAAGGGUUUGGCGGAUAGCCGGCCUGGGAGGGUGACCAGCCACAAUGCGACUGAGAUACGGCCCAGACUCCUACGGGAGGCAACAGUGGGGAAUAUUGCACAGUGGGCGGAAGCCUGAGGCGACAACGCCGCGUGCGGAAUGACGGCCUUCGGGUUGUAAACCGCUUUCGCCUGUGACGAAGCGUGAGUGACGGUAAUGGGUAAAGAAGCACCGGCUAACUACGUG